AAUUUUUUUUUUUUUUUUUAGUGCCUCAAGACAUAUGCUGGACAUAAGAAUGAAAAGUAUUGUGUGUUUGCCAAUUUUUCUGUGACUGGAGGAAAGUGGAUCGUCUCAGGCUCUGAAGACAACAUGGUGUAUAUCUGGAACUUGCAGACCAAAGAAAUUGUUCAGAAACUGCAAGGGCACACAGAUGUAGUGAUCUCGACAGCUUGUCACCCUACAGAGAACAUCAUUGCCUCUGCAGCCCUGGAGAACGACAAGACCAUCAAACUGUGGAAAAGUGAUUGUUAAGUUAAAGCACUGCACUUCAGAGGCUUUGGUAGAAACUUCAGAAUGAUGACUUCCAGUAGUGUCUGUCUUUUACAAUGGUUUGAUAGCACUUAGUGCAGGGUUAUUAUCUGAGAGAUAGGCAGGUCCUGUCUGCUCAGAAUAGCGACAAUCUCACUCGAGCCUUUUCCCCUUUAUAUACUCGAAUAAUCUACUGUAAUGUUUUCAGUUCAUUUUAAUUUAUUACUAAAGAACAAAUGUUUUCUAUCAAA